rnacentral:rRNA from 1 species
UACGUAGGGCGCAAGCGUUGUCCGGAAUUAUUGGGCGUAAAGAGCUCGUAGGCGGUUUGUCGCGUCUGCUGUGAAAGCCCGGGGCUCAACCCCGGGUCUGCAGUGGGUACGGGCAGACUAGAGUGCAGUAGGGGAGACUGGAAUUCCUGGUGUAGCGGCGAAAUGCGCAGAUAUCAGGAGGAACACCGAUGGCGAAGGCAGGUCUCUGGGCUGUAACUGACGCUGAGGAGCGAAAGCAUGGGGAGCGAACAGG